GACGAACGCUGGCGGCGUGCUUAACACAUGCAAGUCGAACGGAAAGGCCCUGCUUUUGUGGGGUGCUCGAGUGGCGAACGGGUGAGUAACACGUGAGUAACCUGCCCUUGACUUUGGGAUAACUUCAGGAAACUGGGGCUAAUACCGGAUAGGAGCUCCUGCUGCAUGGUGGGGGUUGGAAAGUUUCGGCGGUUGGGGAUGGACUCGCGGCUUAUCAGCUUGUUGGUGGGGUAGUGGCUUACCAAGGCUUUGACGGGUAGCCGGCCUGAGAGGGUGACCGGCCACAUUGGGACUGAGAUGCGGCCCAGACUCCUACGGGAGGCAGCAGUGGGGAAUAUUGCACAAUGGGCGGAAGCCUGAUGCAGCAACGCCGCGUGCGGGAUGACGGCCUUCGGGUUGUAAACCGCUUUCGCCUGUGACGGAGCGUGAGUGACGGUAAUGGGUAAAGAAGCACCGGCUAACUACGUG
rnacentral:rRNA from 1 species